rnacentral:rRNA from 1 species
CCUACGGGGGGCAGCAGUGGGGAAUAUUGGACAAUGGGGGGAACCCUGAUCCAGCAACGCCGCGUGAGUGAAGAAGUAUUUCGGUAUGUAAAGCUCUGUCAGCAGGGAAGAUAGAAAUGACGGUACCUGACCAAGAAGCCCCGGCUAACUCCGUGCCAGCAGCCGCUGUAAUACGUAGGGGGCAAGCGUUCUCCGGAAUUCCUGGGUGUAAAGGGGGCGUAGACGGUUAAGUAAGUCCGGAGUGAAAGGCCGGGGCCCAAACCCGGGACUGCUCUUGAAACUAGUGAACGUGAGUGCAGGAGAGGUAAGAGGAAUUCCUAGUGUAGCGGUGAAAUGCGUAGAUAUUAGGAGGAACACCAGUGGCGAAGGCGGCUUACUGGACUGUAACUGACGUUGAGGCUCGAAAGCGUGGGGAGCAAACAGGAUUAGAUACCCUAGUAGUC